rnacentral:rRNA from 1 species
CAGCGCCACGAGUGGCAACCGUGUAUUUGGCCUAAAGCGUCCGUAGCUGGUUGGACAAAUCUUUUGUGAAAUCGUUAUUGUUAACAUAACGGCAUGCAGAAGACACUGUUCAGCUUGAGACCGGGAGGAGUCAGAGGUAUUCUUGGGGGAGCGGUAAAAUGCAAUAAUCCCAAGAGGACCACCUGUGGCGAAGGCGUCUGACUAGAACGGUUCUGACAGUGAGGGACGAAAGCCAGGGGAGCGAACUGGAUUAGAUACCCGAGUAGUCC